CUCGGGUUGAUCCCGCCGGACCCGACUGCUAUCGGAUUGAGAUUUAGCCAUGCGAGUUGAACGUCCUUUGAUUGCAGGGGGCGUAGCAUACGGCUCAGUAACACGUAGUCAACCUGCCCUGGAGACGCGGAUAACCCCGGGAAACUGGGACCAAUCCGUGAUAGGUCACUUCAUCUGGAAGGAGAGGUGGCCCAAAAGGGAGUUGUGGGCUUCCACAUCACUCGCUCUAGGAUGGGACUGCGGCCUAUCAGCUUGUUGGUGAGGUAAUGGCCCACCAAGGCUAUAACAGGUACGGGCUCUGAGAGGAGAAGCCCGGAGAUGGGUACUGAGACACGGACCCAGGCCCUAUGGGGCGCAGCAGGCGAGAAACCUUAGCAAUGUGCGAAAGCACGACUAGGUUAAUCCGAGUGAUUUCUGUUGAAGAAAUCUUUUGUCAGUCGUAAAACCACAGACGAAUAAGGGGUGGGCAAGUCUGGUGUCAGCCGCCGCGGUAAUACCAGCUCCUCGAGUGGUCGGGGCGAUUAUUGGGCCUAAAGCAUCCGUAGCCGGCUACGCAAGUCUCCGGUUAAAUCCAGCUGCUCAACAGAUGGGCUGCCGGAGAUACUACAUAGCUAGGGAGCGGGAGAGGUAGACGGUAUUCUGUGGGUAGGGGUAAAAUCCACUGAUCCAUAGAGGACCACCAGUGGCGAAGGCGGUCUACCAGAACGCGUUCGACGGUGAGGGAUGAAAGCUGGGGGAGCAAACCGGAUUAGAUACCCGGGUAGUCCCAGCUGUAAACGAUGCAAACUCGGUGAUGCAUUGGCUUAUGGCCAAUGCAGUGCCGCAGGGAAGCCGUUAAGUUUGCCGCCUGGGAAGUACGGACGCAAGUCUGAAACUUAAAGGAAUUGGCGGGGGAAGCA
rnacentral:rRNA from 1 species